rnacentral:misc_RNA from 1 species
CAGAGAUCAUGCCCCUCGUGGGUAGACCUCCCACCCUGUGUUAUUACGAUUGUUGCUUUGGCAGGCCGCCUUCGGGCACUCGGCUCCGGCUGAGGUGCGCCUGCCAGAGGACCCCCAACUCUGUGUUUAGUGUUGUCUGAGUAUUAUAUUAAUAAGUUA